UACGAAGGGGGCUAGCGUUGUUCGGAAUCACUGGGCGUAAAGCGCGCGUAGGCGGAUCUUUAAGUCAGGGGUGAAAUCCCGAGGCUCAACCUCGGAACUGCCUUUGAUACUGGGGAUCUCGAGUCCGGGAGAGGUGAGUGGAACUGCGAGUGUAGAGGUGAAAUUCGUAGAUAUUCGCAAGAACACCAGUGGCGAAGGCGGCUCACUGGCCCGGUACUGACGCUGAGGUGCGAAAGCGUGGGGAGCAAACAGG
rnacentral:rRNA from 1 species